GGGGCUGUAGCUCAGAUGGAUAGAGCAGCAACCUUCUAAGUUGUCGGUCGCCCGUUCGAGUCGGGCCAGCCCCGCCA
rnacentral:tRNA from 1 species